ACAUGCUUUCAACAUAGAGUUAAUGCAUUGGAUCCCAUUAGAACUUCAUAGUUAAGCGUGCUCGGGGAAGAGUAGUACUAGGAUCGGUGACUGCCUGGGAAUUCCUAGUAUUUUACAUGCC
rfam:Picea glauca, whole genome shotgun sequence.